rnacentral:rRNA from 1 species
UACGUAGGGGGCAAGCGUUAUCCGGAUUUACUGGGUGUAAAGGGAGCGUAGACGGCUGUGCAAGCCAGAUGUGAAAGCCCGGGGCUCAACCCCGGGACUGCAUUCGGAACUGCGUGGCUUGAGUGUCGGAGAGGCAGGCGGAAUUCCUAGUGUAGCGGUGAAAUGCGUAGAUAUUAGGAGGAACACCAGUGGCGAAGGCGGCCUGCUGGACGAUGACUGACGUUGAGGCUCGAAAGCGUGGGGAGCAAACAGG